rnacentral:rRNA from 1 species
AUACGGAGGGGGCUAGCGUUGUUCGGAAUUACUGGGUGUAAAGCGCACGUAGGCGGAUCGGUCAGUUGGGGGUGAAAUCCCAAGGCUCAACCUUGGAACUGCCCUCAAUACUGCCGGUCUUGAGUCCGAGAGAGGUGAGUGGAAUUCCUAGUGUAGAGGUGAAAUUCGUAGAUAUUGGGAAGAACACCAGUGGCGAAGGCGGCCACCUGGCCCGGUACUGACGCUGAGGUGCGAAAGCGUGGGGAGCAAACAGGAUUAGAAACCCUAGUAGUCC